UUCAUGCCCGAGGGAGGUCUGUGGAGGGUCAAGUUCUUUGACGGUCGUGCUGUGGGCCUGGAUCCCAAACUGGCUGGAUUUGAAGGGUGUUCACUGGAGGCGACUUUCUAUUCCGGUUGAAAUGCAAGCGAAAGCACAGCAGGUUGGUCCUUGGGGUCAGCACAUCAGUUCUAGAAAGCCCAGGCUGGACUCUAAGGGAUGAUAAAUGGGCGACACUCCACGGGGGGCUGGGGGCCGAGAAGUAAACAGGAGAGACCAGGCUCCAGGUCUGCUUGCCCGUCCGUAGCUUCCGUUGCGGCUGUAGAGGGUGCCCCUCGCUGGGGAAGGUGACACAGUCUAACAGACUCUGCUGUGACCCUCUCAGGGGUCACACGUGGAAGGACAGAGGUGGCAGGGGCCGAGGAGCCCGUGGUGAGAUGUGGCUCCCUUGACAGCCCAUGAAAAAUGACUGAGAAAAAAAACACUUUAGAAGUGAUGACUAAACCAGGCCUCCAAGGUCAGGGCCCACGUGAGCCCCACUGCGGGACAGGGUGAGCAGAUACAGGAAAGGGCCCCAGAUGCGUCUUUCAGCCCCUCCAGAAACUCCCUCUGCUCUGCAUCUGCCGGAAGUUCUGCGUUUGUGCUUUAGGCUCUUCCGUUAAGUAACUGAACCGAACGGACUCUACUGCGCGCGGUCACAAUGGCCUCGAGUUAAACCAUAAAAACGUUCUACUGCUCGUCUGCCGUUCGGCUGUUAUAAAGAAAGUAAAUGGAAGUGUACGAGUUUAA